rnacentral:rRNA from 1 species
GAGUUUGAUCAUGGCUCAGAUUGAACGCUGGCGGCAUGCCUUACACAUGCAAGUCGAACGGCAGCACGGGAGCUUGCUCCUGGGUGGCGAGUGGCGAACGGGUGAGUAAUGCAUCGGAACGUAUCCUGGAGUGGGGGAUAACGUAGCGAAAGUUACGCUAAUACCGCAUAUUCUGUGAGCAGGAAAGCGGGGGACCUUCGGGCCUCGCGCUCUUGGAGCGGCCGAUGU